rnacentral:misc_RNA from 1 species
UUUAGCUGAUUUUGAACAGGGUUUUUUCUUAUCUGGUGAAUUUAUCUUCAGAGGGGCUGCAAAUUUGACAGACGAAAGUCUUAGAGAAAUAGGACUGAAGUAGAAAAUUGGAGACUUGGCAGUGGAGACUGAGAACAAUGGAGAUAUGAACUUCAUUGUUACUGGUAACAAUUACGAUUCUAGUUACCGGAGAUAAUGCACUAGUCGCCGG